ensembl:lncRNA
CUCGCGUACCGGAUGAAGGUCUCUAAGGUCUACGGCCGCGACAGCCGCUCCAACCCCGGUCCCCUGGAGUCGCCCACCCGGCCCCACACCCCCCACGCGCGUCUGUCCUAACUUUGGAGACCCCGCAAUUGUCGGUUUCCAGGGUGCCCUCAGCUGCCACCCCUGGGGGAGGCCGCCGGAGCCGCAGCGCUAAGGGCCUUACCGACCGCUCGGGGUGGCGCGGGGGUCGCACACCCGGGUGGGUGUCCGGAGCCCAGCCCAGAGUCCACCCCGGCGGUGGCCUCUCCCCCACUUGGCCCCCCCGGUGCCCGGUGCACGCUCCGGGCUCACCCGCCUCACCGAGUCUCCGGGCCGCGUCUACACCUCCAUCCGUCCGGAUCGGAUAGGGACGAGGUCUCCGCGCGCGACCGGCCCCCCGCCCCGCCCCUCCCCCACCCGGCAGACGAAUCGUCGUGUGACAAAUUGCUCUCAGAUGCAAAUACCUCGCCGGUGAUUCAGCAGCCCUGGGGACGCAGGAGGAGGUAGUGGGUGUCUCUCCAAGGUCCCCCUUCCCAGGCUCUCCCAGGACACCUCCCCGGGGUCCCCCCUCGCCAACUCAAUCUGAGGACGCCCACGGUGGGAGGAGGUGGAGGGGAGCUGGAGAGCCGCCACUGAGUGGACGGAAAUUUUCAGGUCGCGGCCCCUUUAAAUGAUAAUAAAUAAUAAAAGGAAGGGGGAACCAGACGGAGGGACGCCCCGCCCCCAGCUUAGGGACUGUGCACAAAGUGCACGCCGUAGGCCACGGCGCAGAGGCCGCGAGCGGGAGGCGGGGCCACGAGAGCCCGGGCGAGGGGGUUACGGAGAGGCUCCUCACCCCACCUCUGAGCGGAAACCCGCCCGAGUCCCCUGUAGUUUCCUGGUUUCACCCGGAACGUGAGACGGGUCAGCCGAGCUUGGAGCUCGACCUCCUGCCCUCUCUCUACCUUAUCCACACCUUUCCAGCUUGGGUAGCCGUAUCUCUGAAAUGGGCCUGAGCUGCGGGGACCGGGGCGGGAGGGGUGCGAGCGCUGGGUGAGUGCGAGUGCUGGGGGGUGCGAGCGCUGGGUGGGUGCGAGUGCUAGGGGGGUGAGCGCUGGGGGGGGGCGCUGCGUGCGCAAAGGCACGGAGUUGGGCGGCGCGCGCGUUCGAGGAAAGGCGAGGAACCGUGACGAGCCCUCCUAGGAGCGAGGGACAGGAGGACCAACCUCUAACCGACUCAGCGAAGCGCCUGCCUCGGUCCACCCGGUGCAUCUCGGUAGAGUGCCGCCUUCUGAGGCCCCCCAUUUUGCAGAAAGGGAAACUGAGGCAUGGUGUGAACUCAGCUAAGAGUUGAGGCAGCCCCCCACUUCUGCAGGUUCCCCCUGAGUGGUGCUCAGGGCCCUUGUUGGACUGUUAGGGGGGCUCUGGAGCAGCCUGCCCCUCAAAAGCCACUUUGAGGGAGGGGCAAGUCUGGUGGAGUGGGGUGACUCUGGACCAGUCCCCGAGACUGCAGCAGGUGCUUGGAACCUGAGGCUCAAAGCUUGCAGGUGGCGGCAAACUUCACCUUCAAACUCUGAGACACCUUGACCUGUUGGGGCGUGGCCCCAGGGUGGAGCUGGGCCUGCACGUGCCCGCCCAGGCCCUUCUCCAGCUUCGGGCUUGCAGACCUCACUCAUCACUCCUCAUCAGCCUGUGCGAUGAGGAUGAGCACACUGGCCCCAACUCAUCUCCUGCGUCCCCUGUGAUUUUGGAAUUCCCCCAACCACCCUGUUUUAAAAAUGGUUUCUUUGGGGCUGGAGAGAUGGCUCAGAGGUUAAGAGCACCGACUAUUCUUCCAGAGGUCCUGAGUUCAAUUCCCAGCAACUGCUUGGUAGCUCACAACCAUCCAUUAUGAGAUCCGGUGCCCUCUUCUGGUGUGCAGAUAUACAUGGAAGCAGAAUGUUGUAUACAUAAUAAAUAAGUAUAAUCUUUAAAAAAAAAAUGGUUUCUUUGUGUAACCCAGGCCAUCUUGGAACUCACUCUGUAGAUCAGACUGGCCUCUAACUCAAAAAAAUUCUACCUGCCUCUGUCUCCUAAGUAAUGGGACUAAAGGUGUACACCACUACUGCUCUGCUCAUUUUCCAAUUUUUAGAUACUGGGGGUGGAAUCCAUGCUGGAUGAGUGCUCUACCUCUGGCCAUGCCCCAACCCUCACUGGGAAGGAUUUUAGGUCUUUGGGCCCGGAGUGAGCCAUAUGUCCGACUCCCCUGCACUUCUCCUUCCAGGAUCUCUAGCUGGUCAGUAGUUGUGCAAGCCUUUAUCCCAGCAGACCAGAGGCAGACUGAUCUCAGAGUUCAAAGCCAGCCUCCUCUACAGAGCAAGUUCCAGAAGAGCCAGGGCUACACUGAGAUAUCUUGCCUAGAAAAGCAACAAACAAAUAGAUCCAGGGUCUUACUGUGUGGCCCUGGCUCGCCUAGAACUCACAUAAGUCCACCUACUGCAGCAUCUAAGGUUCAUUUCUCUUUGUUGAGGGGGCUGGUUCCCUACAGAAUAUUACAUCUGAGGCUUUGACUUUUCCUCCAUGUGUGUUUUGGCUUUUGGAGACAGGGUUUCUCUGUGUAGUCCUCCCUGUUCUGGAAUUCACUCUGUAGACCAGGCUGGUCC